rnacentral:rRNA from 1 species
GAUUCUCUUCUAUGUUGCCAGCGCGUAAUGGCGGGGACUCAUAGGAGACUGCCGGGGUCAACUCGGAGGAAGGUGGGGAUGACGUCAAAUCAUCAUGCCCCUUAUGCCUAGGGCUGCACGCAUGCUACAAUGGCCGAUACAAAGGGCUGCGAUACCGCAAGGUGGAGCGAAUCCCAUAAAGUCGGUCUCAGUUCGGAUUGGGGUCUGCAACUCGACCCCAUGAAGUUGGAGUUGCUAGUAAUCGCAGAUCAGCAACGCUGCGGUGAAUACGUUCCCGGGUCUUGUACACACCGAAU